UCCACAGAGCAGAAAAGCAUCCUGUUUGGCAAUACAGUUUCCUAUGCUGCAGGUGCUAAAUUGGCAGUGAGACUUGCUGCAAUUGGCUUUUCUCUAAUCAGCAGAGCUCUGAAGACUCACCAGUUAUUUGGGGGAUUCUUUUUUCAAGAGCACAUAUACUCUUCCCAGUUCCAAUAUAUCUUUUGAGAUGGGGUGACCACAUCUCCAUGCAAUAUCCAAGAUGUGGGCCUACCAUAGAUCUACAGAGAUGGACAAGACAAUUCAGAUAAAAUAAGAAACAACUCAAAAAGCAAAACAACAACAAUGAUGGUGAUUUAUCUGUCAGUGCUUAACAAAUAAUGUGCUCAGAGCUGUACAAGAUACAAAAUAGAAAUCAGACCCUGCUUGGAAGAGCUUACAGUCUAAGAAAGACAGAUACAGAGCAGACAGGAUGUUCUAGGAAACCAAGAGGAUGGAAUCGCUCAGGUUCUUUUCAGUUUCUAUGAUUGAUUCACUUCUUGGGAAAGGAAGUGGAUCUUCAGAAGGGAUUUGAUUGGUUUAUGCUAGCCUGCCUGAUCUCAUGCAAAGGGGUAUGUUGGUGUCAAGAGGACUUUGAAUGUGGAUGCACCAAUGAUUGGGUAGUCUAUUAAUGCCUAGAUAGGUAGAUUAGGAAAAAGCAUUAGGCCUGGUCUACAUUACAGAACUAGGUUGAUGCAAGGCAGCUUAUCCUGACCUAACUAUGUAAGCAUCCAAACUAAAAUUUUGCUCCCGUCGACAUAAAUGCCCUGCUGUGCCGACUUAACUCCACCUCGGUGAGAGUCAAUGUCGACGUAAUGAGGUCGACGCAGUGUCAGUGUAGGCACUGCGUUGCUUACAUCGACUAUUAUGGCUUUCAAAAGCCGUCCCACAAUGCCUCACAGUGACGGUACAAUCAGUACAAGUGCUCCAGGUGAGGACAUGCACCGCUGACACAAGGAGCAUAGUGUGGACACGCAAAAGCAGUGUAAUAACUGCGGCGGUUGUAUGUCAACGUAAUUUUGUAGUCUCAAUGUGCCCUUAGAUGCCCACAGAUAAGGUCCUAUCCACACUACCAGCUGGAACUGUGUAGUGGCUGAAUCUCUUGUGCCAUAAUUGUAUCUGCAAUGUAAAAAGACCAUUAGUCUUUUGAAUUGUGCGUCUGUUAUCUUGUCGACCACAUUUUACUCCAUGUGCCAGCAUGUUGCUCUCUACUGCUUCUGUGUGCUGCAACUUCAUAAGUAAGCUUCUGCGAGGAAGGCUUGGGGCGUCUGUGGAUGGUGGCAGCAGCAGCAGCAUUACAUGUCCUCUUUUUCAGGGAGUCAUGGAAGACCUGCUGCUUUGUCAGUUGUCAUGGUCCUUUUUGUUUAAUUAAUCAUUUUCUUUCACUGCUGGUUACACUAAGGGAUCCAAUGUCAUUCUCUAUCUUCCAUAAUGUAAAACGGGAAUAAAAAUCCAA